rnacentral:rRNA from 1 species
UACGUAGGGUGCAAGCGUUGUCCGGAUUUAUUGGGCGUAAAGAGCUCGUAGGCGGUUUUGAAAGUCGGGUGUGAAACCUCCAGGCUCAACCUGGAGACGCCACUCGAUACUUCAAUGACUUGAGUUCGGUAGGGGUAAGCGGGAAUUCCUGGUGUAGCGGUGAAAUGCGCAGAUAUCAGGAGGAACACCGACGGCGAAGGCAGGUCUCUGGGCCACUACUGACGCUGAGAAGCGAAAGCAUGGGGAGCGAACAGG